CCUUUUCCAUAUGUGAUGCUUCUGUUGGAUUCCCCUGUUCUGGAAAUGGCUCCAGACUUUUUCAAUGACUUGAUGACCCACUUGGCAAUAUAAGCAGUUUCCUCAUAUUUAACAUUGGGAAUUUCUUUAGUGGCCUUUAGAACCAAAUUCUUCUCAAACUUGGGCUCACUCUUUGACUUCUCAAGAUUCUUUAAUAUCUUAUAGGUUGUGAGAUUUCCAAUGAGCUCAUCCAUGG
rnacentral:lncRNA from 1 species